CAGCAGCCGCGGUAAUACAGAGGGUGCGAGCGUUAAUCGGAUUUACUGGGCGUAAAGCGUGCGUAGGCGGCUUUUUAAGUCGGAUGUGAAAUCCCUGAGCUUAACUUAGAAAUUGCAUUCGAUACUGGGAAGCUAGAGUAUGGGAGAGGAUGGUAGAAUUCCAGGUGUAGCGGUGAAAUGCGUAGAGAUCUGGAGGAAUACCGAUGGCGAAGGCAGCCAUCUGGCCUAAUACUGACGCUGAGGUACGAAAGCAUGGGGAGCAAACAGGAUUAGAUACCCCAGUAGUCCCUGUCUCUUAUAC
rnacentral:rRNA from 1 species